CCUUGUAUUUUUGUUCACUGUGUUUCUGUCGUUGUGUUUCUGUUGCAGUCUCAGGUCAGCACAAUGUGAAGCCAGAAUGCUGUGAUAAAGGGACAGAUAAGAUCAAUGAGGAAAUCUUAAAGUGCUUUGAACAAAAACCAGGACCCGCCUGUAAAAAUCACUUCUUCAUCGUUGAGGUCAACAAAGGUAAAAAAUUUUGCAUCAAUCCAGAUUCUCAGUGGCUAAAAGAGAAAAACUUAACAUGCAACUCAACUGGUGGGUAUCAUCAAGAGAAACCACAUGUUGCAGCAAAACCAAAAAAGAAGCACUGACUUCCCCGUUCUACUGACUGCUACAGGAAAAGCUGAAGCUCAUAAUCCUCUGCUUAUAAAAAUAAUCAAUGCAUCGAUAACUUUGAUCCUUCAAAGUUAUCAAUCAGCUCCGACCCGCUCUGCUCAAAAAGCCAAACGAUGAAAACUCUCGUUAUUUUUCUUCUUGAUCAAAUGAAUCAAAACUGACAUGUUUGUCUCCUUCCUGUGGAUGUGUCAAUAAAGUUUGUUCUUCAAUGCA